rnacentral:rRNA from 1 species
UGGGGAAUCUUGCGCAAUGCGCGAAAGCGUGACGCAGCAACGCCGCGUGGGGGAAGAAGGCCUUCGGGUUGUAAACCCCUUUCAGUUGGGACGAAGCUUCGUCGGUGAAUAGCCGGCUGGAGUGACGGUACCUUCACAAGAAGCCCCGGCUAACUACGUGCCAGCAGCCGCGGUAAUACAGAGGGUGCAAGCGUUGCUCGGAAUCAUUGGGCGUAAAGGGUUGGUAGGUGGUCUUAUUUGUCGGAGGUGAAAGCCUUGGGCUUAACCCAAGAAGUGCCUCCGAAACGGUGAGACUAGAGUUCUGGAGAGGCUAGGGGAAUUCCCGGUGUAGCGGUGAAAUGCGUAGAGAUCGGGAGGAACACCAGAGGCGAAGGCGCCUAGCUGGACAGAUACUGACACUCAACAACGAAAGCGUGGGGAGCAAACAG